rnacentral:rRNA from 1 species
CUACGGGUCGCAGCAGUGGGGAAUAUUGGACAAUGGGGGCAACCCUGAUCCAGCCAUGCCGCGUGUGUGAAGAAGGCCUUUUGGUUGUAAAGCACUUUAAGCAGGGAGGAGAGGCUAAUGGUUAAUACCCAUUAGAUUAGACGUUACCUGCAGAAUAAGCACCGGCUAACUCUGUGCCAGCAGCCGCGGUAAUACAGAGGGUGCGAGCGUUAAUCGGAAUUACUGGACGUAAAGCGAGUGUAGGUGGCUCAUUAAGUCACAUGUGAAAUCCCCGGGCUUAACCUGGGAACUGCAUGUGAUACUGGUGGUGCUAGAAUAUGUGAGAGGGAAGUAGAAUUCCAGGUGUAGCGGUGAAAUGCGUAGAGAUCUGGAGGAAUACCGAUGGCGAAGGCAGCUUCCUGGCAUAAUAUUGACACUGAGAUUCGAAAGCGUGGGUAGCAAACAGGAUUAGAUACCCUCGUAGUC